GGGAAAUCAUGGCUAUUUAAACUCCAUUUUUUAACCGCUAACAUGGCAGUUCAUGACAGUUUCUUAGGCUCCACUUUUUCCUGCCAAUGUUCUCCACAAAUCACGGUUGCCAACUUCCCAUCGCCUGUUCACCCCAACUCUCCACCUUCAUAUGUGCAGUUAUAAGUUGGUUUCUUCCAUCUCCACUCUCUCAUGAUUACAGCCCACGUUUCUCCUCUCACCCAUAAAACUCCCUGCUUAAGAUUCAAUAUUAACCCACUCUCAUUUUUCUACUCAACCCAUACCACCUACUUCAAAAAUCAAUUCCUUUCUUCUCGUCGAAUUCAUCUUUAUUCUCUGAAAUGGAAUGCACAUCCAAAUACAAAGAAGCUUCUUAAUAUCACCGAGCUGAAACUGGUAAUCGUUUUUUUAUUAGAAGACUUAGAAGCAUCUAUUGGCUUUACACUAAAAUUGGAAAAAUCAGGGUUCAUGUUGAUGAAUGCGAAGUGGGUCGUUGGGUCAAAAGAGCUUAAACGCACAAAAGGAACAAAUUAACGGCAAAAACCAACAUAAAUACAAAAGAAGAGAAGUUGACACUUCAUACCGACCCUCUGAGUUUCACCCUAAUGCCAAAAUAACACGUCAGAAGGCUGACAUGGGGCUGUGCCACCCUGACACGGGGCUGUGCCACCCUUAGCACGAGGUCGUGCCCAGUCAAGAUUCCCUACAGAAGAAAAGACAACAGCAAAAGACAAACCAGACAAACCAACAUGUGGCCGUGCUAAGGCAACACGGGGCCGUGGUCAACUCCUAGAUUUGCAGAAUCUUGGAUAGUACAACAAGUACAAGCAAGUACAAUGGCCACGGGGCCGUGCCGUUGACACACAUGGUCGUGUUAGUACAAGAACUGACACUGCAAUUAAUAAAGAAGAUAGAGAAUGGCCAACACGGGGCCGUGUCAGGUGGGCACGGGGCCGUGUUGACAGUCUGUUUUCAACAAUAAAUAGGGGUGCUUGAUUUCAUUUCAACUCAUCUCUUGGUAAACCACUUCCAUCUCAC